rnacentral:rRNA from 1 species
AGCGGAGGAAAAGAAACCAACAGGGAUUGCCCUAGUAACGGCGAGUGAAGCGGCAACAGCUCAAAUUUGAAAUCUGGCCCUUGGGUCCGAGUUGUAAUUUGUAGAGGAUGUUUUUGGUGCGGUAUCUUCCGAGUUCCUUGGAACAGGACGCCUUAGAGGGUGAGAGCCCCGUACGGUUGAAUGCCUAGCCUUUGUAAAACUCCUUCGACGAGUCGAGUAGUUUGGGAAUGCUGCUCUAAAUGGGAGGUAAAUUUCUUCUAAAGCUAAAUACUGGCCAGAGACCGAUAGCGCACAAGUAGAGUGAUCGAAAGAUGAAAAGCACUUUGAAAAGAGGGUUAAAUAGCACGUGAAAUUGUUGAAAGGGAAGGAUUUAUGACCAGACUUUUUCUGGGCGGAUCAUCCGGUGUUCUCACCGGUGCACUUCGCUCAGUUUAGGCCAGCAUCGAUUUUCGGUGGGGGAUAAAAGCUUUAGGAAUGUGGCUCCUCCGGGAGUGUUAUAGCCUAUUGUAUAAUACCCUACUGGGGAUCGAGGUACGCGCUUCUGCAAGGAUGCUGGCGUAAUGGUUAUCAAUCACCCGUCUUGAAACACGGACCAAGGAGUCGAACAUUUGUGCAAGUGUUUGGGUGUUAAACCCUCACGCGUAAUGAAAGUGAACGGAGGUGAGAGCCCUUACGGGUGCAUCAUCGACCGAUCCUGAUGUUUUCGGAUGGAUUUGAGUAAGAGCAUAACUGUUCGGACCCGAAAGAUGGUGAACUAUGCGUGGAUAGGGUGAAGCCAGAGGAAACUCUGGUGGAGGCUCGCAGCGGUUCUGACGUGCAAAUCGAUCGUCAAAUCUGCGCAUGGGGGCGAAAGACUAAUCGAACCAUCUAGUAGCUGGUACGC